CUGGUGCUGCUCAGGUCAUCAGCAUGAUUCUAGAGUCACUGAGUCAUCUUGGCACUGUUCCAGGAAGACUUUGGUCCCUUUUAAAUUGCUGGUUGCAACUCAAAAGGACCUUAACUAAUAUACCUAGCCCCCUGAUGGGUAGGUGAAUGAUGGACCGAAGAAAGGAGCCCUUAGUGGGCCACCUGAUUAUUCUCAUCAAAAAUGGUAGAUGAGGGAAGCUGAUGUGGCUCAAGCAAUUAAGCUCCUGCCUACCACAUGGGAGGUCCUGGGUUUGGUUCCUGGUGCCUCCUGGAGAAGACAAGACAGCAAGCUGGUGUGACAGGCAGGCACAGCAAGCUGAUGCAACAGAGAGACACUAAAAGGAAAGACAGGCACACAACAAAGCAGGGAGCUGGGGUGGCUCAAGUGAUUGACUGCCUUUCCCCCACAUGGGAGGUCCCAAGUUCAGUUCCUGGUGCCUCCUAAAGAGAAGACAAGCAGACACAGAGCACACAACAAAAUGGACACAUAGAGCAGACAGCAAAUGCAAACAAUGAGGGGUGAAAAUAAAACUUUUUUAAACACAAUAGAGGGAGUGGAUGUGGCUUAUGUGGCUGAACACCUGCUUCCCACAUGGGAGGUCCCAGGUUUGAUCCCAGUGCCUCCUAAAAACAAAAUAACAAGCAAACAAAUGAAAAAAAAAACAACUCAGGGGAGCCAGUGUGGUUCAGUGGUUGAGCGCCCAUGCCAGGUUCCCACAUACGGAGUCCUGGUUCAAUCCCGGCCCUGGUACCUCAAAAAAAAAAAAAAAAAAAAAAGUGGUAGACAAGAAUCAGACAUACUGGAACUGACAAACCACAAUUCAGAUAGAUACUGAGAACUACAAAACAAAAUCUAUUAAAAAAGCUGAUUUGACUAUAGCUCAUCUAAGUUGGCUUCUUAUACUCCAUACCUAAUGCUAACACUGUAUAUAAACAAUUGUACAUAUUUUGUGAUAUCAAUUAUUCUGUACAUAUUAUAAUGCUAAUCUGUUUAGCAUGCUUAGACUUCAUGGCCUAUGGCUUAUAUCCAAGCUCACUCUUUACAACCUCUAGAAAUUAGAGUGAACACUCUCAGACCCUUCUCCUGUUUGAAGCGUACCCAACCAGCUCUAUUCUCUGAAUGUUCCUCCGUGUUAGCUGCCACAAAUCUUUCUUAAAAGACCAGACUAUUAAAACUGAAGGGAGAGGGAAACAGAUGUGGCUUAACCAAUUGGGCUCCUGUCUACCAUAUAGGAGGUCCAGGGUUCGAUGCCCAGGGCCUCCUGGUGAGGGCAAGCUGGCCCAUGCAGCGACCUGGCCCAUGCGGAGUGCUGGCCCACACAGGAAUGCUGCCCUACACAGGAGUGCCCCCUGCGUGGGAAUGCCACCCAGUGCAGGAAAGCCACCCUGCACAGGAGUGCUGGCCAA
rnacentral:lncRNA from 1 species